UUGGACAAAGAAACGUGUUGUGAAAUCAUUUUCUCAGAAAGUAAAUUGUCAAAGAUCACAAUGAUUAUUCCCAUCCGCUGUUUCACGUGUGGGAAAGUGAUUGGCAACAAGUGGGAGGCCUAUAUUGGGUUGUUGCAGGUGGAAUACACUGAAGGAGAUGCCCUGGAUGCCCUGGGGUUGAGCG